GUAGAUGACGAUAAAAAUGCUGUGCACCAGUCUGAAAACGCCACACGUACUCGUGGCGCGUUGAAGCAUAUAGUAUACCCAUAUUACUGAUA
rnacentral:snoRNA from 1 species